rnacentral:rRNA from 1 species
GGAUUAGAUACCCUGGUAGUCCACACCGUAAACGCUGUCUACUAGCUGUAUGUUUUUUAUAAGAUGUGUGGCGUAGCUAACGCGCUAAGUAGACCGCCUGGGGAGUACGGCCGCAAGGUUAAAACUCAAAUGAAUUGACGGGGGCCCGCACAAGCGGUGGAGCAUGUGGUUUAAUUCGAUGCAACGCGAAGAACCUUACCUACACUUGACAUCCAGAGAACUUACCAGAGAUGGUUUGGUGCCUUCGGGAGCUCUGAGACAGGUGCUGCAUGGCUGUCGUCAGCUCGUGCUG